rnacentral:lncRNA from 1 species
CCACCUGUCGGCAGUUUAUGGUCAAGCUCCAGAUUCAGCAGGAAUUAAGGCAACUCACCGCAUCUCAUGGAGAGAAGACUUCACGCUGCCAGGACGAUGGUCAUUAUAGAUUGCCCUUUCUUCCAAAUCCAUUUGGCAUUGGUGGUCAACUGAAUGAGACAAGGAUUCUUAGAGGAGAGAAAGCAGAAACCUCCCUUAUACCAAUUCUUCAUCUGGAUGUGAACCCACAUUGAAACACUUGAAAAUUUUGAUAAAAAUAUCUUCUCUCGCCUCAAAAUAGAAAUGCAAAUUUUGAAAGCCUGACAGUUUUUUAAAAUGAGUUCUGGAAAAACAGCUCUUGUCAAAGCAAAAUGUCUCUGUUCAAAAGCAUCUAGAAGUGCUGCAAAAUUUUACCUCCCUCUAAAAGGUUGCAAGAUUCUCUCUUUUUAAACUUUUAGACUUUUGUUCAUGGUUACUGAUCCAAUCUAAGGUGAAACUGUUAAAUUUCUGGGAAGACUUGGUGACAUUUCAAAGUAUUCUUAUUGCUGUCUCUACACAAGAAAACCUGUGUGCUCAUGUUCCUUUGUUUAAUGUCUCAUUCAGAUUUUAAAAAUAAAUGUUAAAAAAUCAGCA